rnacentral:rRNA from 1 species
GUACACGCUGUGACUAGCAUAUCAAUAAGCGGAGGAAAAGAAACUAACAAGGAUUCCCCUAGUAACGGCGAGUGAAGCGGGAAGAGCUCAAAUUUGAAAUCUUAAAGGGUUUCCCUUUACGAAUUGUAGUUUAAAGAAGUGUUUUCUGUUGAGGUUUUGGUAAAAGUUCUUUGGAAUAGGACAUCAUAGAGGGUGAGAAUCCCGUAUUUGACCUUUACUUUCAACUUUGUGAUACACUUUCAAAGAGUCGGAUUGUUUGGGAAUGCAGUCCAAAAUGGGUGGUAAAUUUCAUCUAAAGCUAAAUAUUGGCGAGAGACCGAUAGCGAACAAGUACCGUGAGGGAAAGAUGAAAAGAACUUUGAAAAGAGAGUUAAACAGUACGUGAAAUUGUCAAAAGGGAAGCGUUUGACACCAGUGUUGUUUUUCUGAAAAUCUAAUUAAAGAACUGUUUAUGCUAAGCUGUUUAGACUUUAUCAGCUAUCUGUUUAGUUUUGAGCUUUUCUUUAAUGCACUUUUCAGUUAACAAGUCAACAUCAAUUUCUUUUGCUGUAAAAAAGCUUGAGGAAGGUGGCUUGAGAUUCGUCUUAAGUGUUUAUAGCCUCUUGCCUAUGCAGUCGGAGAGAUUGAGGUCUGCAGCGUAGAUCCUUCGGGGCUAAAUGCAUUUGUGCUAAGUUAUAGCAUUUCAUAGACAACUUGUUGACUAUGAUUUGUCUUGUAGCUUACUCGCUUAUGUUAUUUUACCUACGCUUAGGAUGUUGACGAGACUGUCGAUCUC